CACACAAGGAGCAAGGUAAUAAUAUUGGCGCAGCUCAACUGCAACAGUGGCACAGAUAGGGCUCACCUGACAGCAAAUCUCAGUCGAAAAGACCAAGUGGGAAGGAAGAAAGUGAGAAAACAACACACAGUGAAAUGGCUAAUAAGACAUCAAGAGCAAUGCAAAAAGCCACAAUAACUAAGUAAAUGCAAAACAAAGUAAUCACAGUCACAAUCAAAUGUGUCUCCCAA